AUGACCAGUCACUUACUGGCCACCACGCAGGCGGAGAACCAGGUGGAGGGUAGACUCCUUCUGGAUGUUGUAGUCUGCCAGAGUGCGGCCAUCCUCAAGCUGCUUGCCGGCAAAGAUGAGGCGCUGCUGGUCCGGAGGGAUGCCCUCCUUGUCCUGGAUCUUUGCCUUCACGUUGUCGAUGGUGUCCGAGGACUCCACCUCCAGCGUGAUGGUCUUGCCCGUCAGGGUCUUGACAAAGAUCUGCAUACCACCACGAAGGCGGAGCACCAGGUGGAGGGUGGACUCCUUCUGGAUGUUGUAGUCAGCAAGGGUACGACCAUCCUCGAGCUGCUUGCCAGCAAAGAUGAGGCGCUGCUGGUCCGGGGGGAUGCCCUCCUUGUCCUGGAUCUUCGCCUUGACGUUGUCGAUGGUGUCCGAUGA
rnacentral:rRNA from 1 species